GACGAACGCUGGCGGCGUGCUUAACACAUGCAAGUCGAACGGAAAGGCCUGCUUUUCCUUGUGGUUUGCGGGUACUCGGGUGGCGAACGGGUGAGUAACACGUGAGUGAUCUGCACCCAACUUGGGUAUAAGCAUGGGAAACUGGGUCUAAUUCCCGAUAGGACUGCAGGGUGGUGUCUGUGGUGGCAGACGUUUUUCUAGUGGUUGGGGAUGAGCUGGCGGCCUAUCUGCUUGUUGGUGGGGUAAUGGACGACCAAGGCGGGGAGGGGAAGCCGGCCUGGGAGGGUGGACGGUGAAAUUGGGACUGGGAUACGGCCCAGACGCGUACGAGAAGUAGGAGUUGGGAAGAAUGGAGCAUGGGCGGGAGGCUGCUGCAGCGACGGCGUGUGGGAGAUGACGGGCUUCGGGUUGUAUACUCCUAUCGACCGCGAGGAGGGCACCUGGUUGGAAGGGUGGUGACGGUAGUGGUAGAAGAAGCACCGGCUAACUACGUG
rnacentral:rRNA from 1 species